GGGUUGUGAGGUUAAGCGACUAAGCGUACACGGUGGAUGCCCUGGCAGUCAGAGGCGAUGAAGGACGUGCUAAUCUGCGAAAAGCGUCGGUAAGGUGAUAUGAACCGUUAUAACCGGCGAUGUCCGAAUGGGGAAACCCAGUGCAAUUCGUUGCACUAUCGUUAACUGAAUACAUAGGUUAACGAGGCGAACCGGGGGAACUGAAACAUCUAAGUACCCCGAGGAAAAGAAAUCAACCGAGAUUCCCCCAGUAGCGGCGAGCGAACGGGGAGCAGCCCAGAGUCUGAAUCAGCUUGUGUGUUAGUGGAACGGUCUGGAAAGUCCGACGGUACAGGGUGAUAGUCCCGUACACCAAAAUGCACAGGUUGUGAACUCGAAGAGUAGGGCGGGACACGUGGUAUCCUGUCUGAAUAUGGGGGGACCAUCCUCCAAGGCUAAAUACUCCUGACUGACCGAUAGUGAACCAGUACCGUGAGGGAAAGGCGAAAAGAACCCCGGCGAGGGGAGUGAAAAAGAACCUGAAACCGUGUACGUACAAGCAGUGGGAGCACCUUCGGGUGUGACUGCGUACCUUUUGUAUAAUGGGUCAGCGACUUAUAUUCUGUAGCAAGGUUAACCGUAUAGGGGAGCCGCAGGGAAACCGAGUCUUAACUGGGCGUUAAGUUGCAGGGUAUAGACCCGAAACCCGGUGAUCUAGCCAUGGGCAGGUUGAAGGUUGGGUAACACUAACUGGAGGACCGAACCGACUAAUGUUGAAAAAUUAGCGGAUGACUUGUGGCUGGGGGUGAAAGGCCAAUCAAACCGGGAGAUAGCUGGUUCUCCCCGAAAGCUAUUUAGGUAGCGCCUCGUGAACUCAUCUUCGGGGGUAGAGCACUGUUUCGGCUAGGGGGUCAUCCCGACUUACCAACCCGAUGCAAACUACGAAUACCGAAGAAUGUUAUCACGGGAGACACACGGCGGGUGCUAACGUCCGUCGUGAAGAGGGAAACAACCCAGACCGCCAGCUAAGGUCCCAAAGUCAUGGUUAAGUGGGAAACGAUGUGGGAAGGCACAGACAGCCAGGAUGUUGGCUUAGAAGCAGCCAUCAUUUAAAGAAAGCGUAAUAGCUCACUGGUCGAGUCGGCCUGCGCGGAAGAUGUAACGGGGCUAAACCAUGCACCGAAGCUGCGGCAGCGACACUAUGUGUUGUUGGGUAGGGGAGCGUUCUGUAAGCCUGCGAAGGUGUGCUGUGAGGCAUGCUGGAGGUAUCAGAAGUGCGAAUGCUGACAUAAGUAACGAUAAAGCGGGUGAAAAGCCCGCUCGCCGGAAGACCAAGGGUUCCUGUCCAACGUUAAUCGGGGCAGGGUGAGUCGACCCCUAAGGCGAGGCCGAAAGGCGUAGUCGAUGGGAAACAGGUUAAUAUUCCUGUACUUGGUGUUACUGCGAAGGGGGGACGGAGAAGGCUAUGUUAGCCGGGCGACGGUUGUCCCGGUUUAAGCAUGUAGGCUGGUUAUCCAGGCAAAUCCGGAUAAUCAAGGCUGAGGUGUGAUGACGAGGCACUACGGUGCUGAAGUAACAAAUGCCCUGCUUCCAGGAAAAGCCUCUAAGCAUCAGGUAACAUCAAAUCGUACCCCAAACCGACACAGGUGGUCAGGUAGAGAAUACCAAGGCGCUUGAGAGAACUCGGGUGAAGGAACUAGGCAAAAUGGUGCCGUAACUUCGGGAGAAGGCACGCUGGUGUGUAGGUGAAGUCCCUGCGGAUGGAGCUGAGACCAGUCGAAGAUACCAGCUGGCUGCAACUGUUUAUUAAAAACACAGCACUGUGCAAACACGAAAGUGGACGUAUACGGUGUGACGCCUGCCCGGUGCCGGAAGGUUAAUUGAUGGGGGUUAUCCGUAAGGAGAAGCUCUUGAUCGAAGCCCCGGUAAACGGCGGCCGUAACUAUAACGGUCCUAAGGUAGCGAAAUUCCUUGUCGGGUAAGUUCCGACCUGCACGAAUGGCGUAAUGAUGGCCAGGCUGUCUCCACCCGAGACUCAGUGAAAUUGAACUCCGCUGUGAAGAUGCAGUGUACCCGCGGCAAGACGGAAAGACCCCGUGAACCUUUACUAUAGCUUGACACUGAACAUUGAGCCUUGAUGUGUA
rnacentral:rRNA from 1 species